GCAGCCCCAGGCAAUUUUCCUUAUGACUGGGAAUGCGAAGGCAGGAUGGGAAGCCCUGUUGUCAUGCUGGCUCUGGUCCCAUCAGCUUAUCUCCAAAGUUAAAAACCCACAACAAGUGCCAUUUGCCAGUUGUGCAGGGCUGUGCGAGGGGCAUCAAUGCAGCCCUUCAUCCUCUUCCUGGCUCUGGCCCCGGCUGCAUGGCCGUUAGCAGGGACAAUGCCAGAGGGACAGAUGCAGAGCCCAGACCACGAGGAUGAAAGAAGAAAAGUCUGUUCACCGCAGCCAGCAGAGGGGGAGGAAAAACGAUCCAGGCUGCACAAUUAGACAGGCUUCCAAUUAGACAGAGCACAUGUACACGUGCUCACACGCACGUGCCCUCACGUGCUCACACACACAGAGACUGUGCAUGAGUUUAGGGCUGAAGCCUCUGCAUCCUUGUGCAGUGAUUUGUGAGAUACUAGAUAGCUUCCAGGGAUUGGAUUUUAUGGGUCAUGAGAUGUAACCAUUGUGCUGGAAGUAAAGCUUUAAAAAUGAGAGAGAAAGAGAAACAGUUCUUUCUCUUGCUACUUGACUGGUGCUGAGGAGGAGUUUGUCAAUAAAAGGGUAAUUGUUAAAAAUCUAAUGACAGUUUUUAAAUGUAAGAAUCAUCCCUAAGAAUAUGACCUCUUCCAUUACACCAGUCAGCACAGGGUUAUUUCCUUCGUGUUGGCUGUCUCCGAAUUUGAAGUGAAGCUACUGCUGUUGAAAUCUCCCACCACCUGCCGGCGGACAGAGUCUGCUUGGACCAUUCCAGGAGCUGGAGUCCUGUCGAGACGCCCUCUCACUUCCCUUGACAUGUUCUUCCACCUCACCCUCCAGCCAGCACCCUCGAGGUUCAGUGAUGUAAACAGCCUGGUAUCUAUGCCUGGUAGUUUCAGCCUUAGGAGCCCACACAUUUGCUCUUCAUGCAGAAGAUGGUCUGGAUUGAGUUUCCAUCACUGGAAGACCUCGGGCUCUCCAAGGUCCCGUCAUCGACUGUGAGGCCUGGAAAGGGGCAAGCCCUGGUGGUUUCUCUUGCACAGAUGCU